rnacentral:rRNA from 1 species
UACGUAGGGUGCGAGCGUUAUCCGGAAUCAUUGGGCGUAAAGAGCUCGUAGGCGGUUCAACAAGUCGGCUGUGAAAGUCCGGGGCUCAACCCCGGAAUUGCAGUCGAUACUGUUGUGACUUGAGUCCGGUAGAGGAGAAUGGAAUUCCCGGUGUAGCGGUGGAAUGCGCAGAUAUCGGGAGGAACACCAGUAGCGAAGGCGGCUCUCUGGACUGUAACUGACGCUGAGGCACGAAAGCGUGGGGAGCAAACAGGAUUAGAUACCCU